rnacentral:lncRNA from 1 species
CACCAGCAAAACAACUUGAAACCAACCGAUGGAACAGUAGACACAGCAGGAAGAAAGGAAAACUUUAACUAGCACUUUCAAAACCUCAAUUUAAUCCAUUUACACCCCAGGUAAACCAAAAGGUGUCCCAGUAAAUGAAAACUUCAGAAAAAUCAUAAAAGAACACCCAAUGGAACAUUGAUUCUGGAAACUUUUGUUUUUUUCCCUGAAAUUUAUGCCUUCAAAUCUCAGUAGAACAGUAAAUCACGUUGUCAUUUCAAUGUUCAACUCUCUAUAUCUCUCAGAUUUUUCAGAAUGUUUCCCCUAAUUUUCAGCUCUCUUCUCUGCCUUCUAAGGCAAGUUAUAUGUGCUUUUAUAUGCAAACAAAUAGGGCAACAAAUAAGAAACAGAUUUGCCUCUUGAGUCCUUUUGAAUUAUUG